CCCUGUGGUUCCUCCGGCGAGUGCCAUGGCCCUUGUAGGCGGGUGCAGUACCUCCCCUUUCGUAUCCGACCUCCAGGCUGGCUAUCACUAUGUGCGUAAUCCUGGUUGGCCCGGAACUCACUCUGGAAAACAGAGUGGCCUCAAAUUCACGGAGAUUGGACACCCAGCUUUGUCUCACAUAUUUUGUUAAGGUACUUCUGGGAGCCAUAAGCCACUAUACCCAGAUCUGAUGUCCUGCAUGCGUCAGUACCCAUCUUCCAGCAAGCAGCACAGAGCAGAGAGUUCGUCCCCUACAUCCCAGUCUACAGACCACUAUGUGCAUUUAUUUAUUUAUUUACUGACAGGGUCUUGGUAUAUACCCCUGGCUGGCCUGGAAUGCACUACAUAGAUCAGGCUAGGCUCUAACAGGUGAAUGGAAUGUUGACUUCCUAA